CCAUCUUCCAUGUGAUGUUCUCUUGCCCCACGGCGAGGAGAGUUUGGGACCAAGUACCAGCAAUGGCCAAUCCCACAGUGAGCUCCUGCAACUCUAUGGAGGAUCUACUCAAACUUGGUUCUCGGAUGAUAAAUUUACCUCCAUCAGGCCUUACUAUUCCCUUAUACCCGUGGAUAUACUUAAAUUUAUAACCACAUUAUACAUUUGUAUUAAUGUAUUCUAAACUUUUUUUCAUGGUACAUAGACAUCGCUCAAAAUUUUAACAAUUAAUUUAAUAAAACUUUAUAUACUGCUCAAAUCAGUGGAAUAACCACUACAAAAUAGCUAUUCUCUAGAGAAACAGACACACAAAAAAAAAUUCAAACCUCUUUGACCACCAUCUUAUGUUAGGAGAGGAUGCAACUAUGCAAUCAAAAAAAGAUUUUUAUAAUUUUUCUUUAAAUCUAAAGGGUAAUCCCCUCUACGAGGCAUAUAUUAGGAAGCUGGUACCAAGUGCAGAGAUGCUAGAUGAUGAAUUAGUUUGGCUACCUGAAAAGUCGGGUCAGUACUCAACAAAAUCAGGGUAUGCUUUGGCUAAGGUUCAUAAUGGUAAUCAGUAGGAUCCCUUCAACUGGAAACGAUAUGUGUGGAAUGUCGAAUGCUCUCCUAAACUGAGACAAUUCCUUUGGAAAGUGAAGAAUGAGGCUCUUGCAGUAGGUGAAAACCUGUUAAGAAGAGGACUUCAAGUGGAUGGAAAGUGCAAGAGAUGUGGUGAACCAGAGACCAUCUUCCAUGUGAUGUUCUCUUGCCCCACGGCGAGGAGAGUUUGGGACCAAGUACCAGCAAUGGCCAAUCCCACAGUGAGCUCCUGCAACUCUAUGGAGGAUCUACUCAAACUUGGUUCUCGGAUGAUAAAUUUACCUCCAUCAGGCCUUACUAUUCCCUUAUACCCGUGGAUAUACUUGGUCUUGUGGACUAGUAGGAAUCAAUUGAUGUUCGAAGAUAAGUCUUUCUCGGAAACAGAGAUGGUGUUGAAAGCAAUCAAAGCAGCAAAGGAAUGGCAGGAGUCAUUACCACAACGCAAACAACGCUCUGCUUCAUCUAAAGACUGUCACACCUCGAACCCUCUCUCCCAGGUGCCGA
rnacentral:lncRNA from 1 species